rnacentral:rRNA from 1 species
GUGGGGAAUAUUGGACAAUGGGCGCAAGCCUGAUCCAGCCAUGCCGCGUGAGUGAUGAAGGCCUUAGGGUUGUAAAGCUCUUUCAGUGGGGACGAUAAUGACGGUACCCACAGAAGAAGCCCCGGCUAACUUCGUGCCAGCAGCCGCGGUAAUACGAAGGGGGCUAGCGUUGUUCGGAUUUACUGGGCGUAAAGCGCACGUAGGCGGAUCGUUAAGUCGGGGGUGAAAUCCUGGAGCUCACCUCCAGAACUGCCUUCGAUACUGGCGAUCUUGAGUCCGGAAGAGGUGAGUGGAACUCCUAGUGUAGAGGUGGAAUUCGUAGAUAUUAGGAAGAACACCAGUGGCGAAGGCGGCUCACUGGUCCGGUACUGACGCUGAGGUGCGAAAGCGUGGGGAACAAACAGGAUUAGAAACCCGUGUAGUCC